UACGUAGGGCGCAAGCGUUGUCCGGAAUUAUUGGGCGUAAAGAGCUCGUAGGCGGCUUGUCACGUCGGGUGUGAAAGCCCGGGGCUUAACCCCGGUUCUGCAUUCGAUACGGGCUGGCUAGAGUGUGGUAGGGGAGAUCGGAAUUCCUGGUGUAGCGGUGAAAUGCGCAGAUAUCAGGAGGAACACCGGUGGCGAAGGCGGAUCUCUGGGCCAUUACUGACGCUGAGGAGCGAAA
rnacentral:rRNA from 1 species